rnacentral:rRNA from 1 species
UCUACGGGGGGCAGCAGUGAGGAAUAUUGGUCAAUGGGCGCGAGCCUGAACCAGCCAAGUAGCGUGAAGGAUGACUGCCCUACGGGUUGUAAACUUCUUUUAUAAAGGAAUAAAGUGAGGCACGUGUGCCUUUUUGUAUGUACUUUAUGAAUAAGGAUCGGCUAACUCCGUGCCAGCAGCCGCGGUAAUACGGAGGAUCCGAGCGUUAUCCGGAUUUAUUGGGUUUAAAGGGAGCGUAGAUGGGUUGUUAAGUCAGUUGUGAAAGUUUGCGGCUCAACCGGAAAAUUGCAAUUGAUACUGGAAGCCGUGAGUACAGUUGAGGGAGGCGGAAUUCGUGGUGUAGCGGUGAAAUGCUUGAUAUCACGAAGAACUCCGAUUGCGAAGGCAGCUUACUAAACUGCCACUGACAUUGAUGCUCGAAAGUGUGGGUAUCAAACAGGAUUAGAUACCCGGGUAGUC